rnacentral:rRNA from 1 species
GUAAGGGGCAACCGUUACUCGGAAUACUGGGCGGGUAAGGUGUGUAGCGCUGAGUAAGUCAAAGAUGAAAUCCCGUGGCUCCAACUGCGGAACUGUCUUGAACUAUCGGCUGGAGGAUAGUCGAGGAGGAAUGGAAUCCCGGUGAGCGGUGAAUGCGUAGAUAUCGGAGGGAACACCCGAGGCGUAAGCGAUUCUCUAUCCUAUUCCUGACGCUGAAACACGAAAGCUAGGGGAGCGAACGGGAUUAGAUACCCCGGUAGUCCUAGCUAUAAACGAUGGACACUAGAUAUUCCUGCGUUUAUGUGGGAGUGUCGAAGCUAACGCGCUAAGUGUCCCGCCUGGGGAGUACGGUCGCAAGGCUG